UUUAGUUAUAAAAAUUGUUGUAUAAUUCAGUUUAUUUAAAAGAAAUGGAGUUCAUAUAUUUAAUUAAUUCUGUUCUUACGUUGUUAAUGGAGAAUGACGGAUGUGCAACUCUUGUGUGAGGACAUAAGACUUUUAUUUUGCAGAUAUAAAGAUAAACAAAAGGUGAGCCUUAUUGGAGCAGUGAAUGAAGUGAGUUGCUGCGAAUGUAAUCACAGAGCUCGGCUGGACGAAGCAAAAACUAAAACACACAUAACUAACGGAUAUAUUGAUUUCCUUAUAUUAAUACUAAUAGCUAUAUUAGCUAUAUUUGUUGUGUAUGCCAUAAUAGCUGCAAGAAAAUAUCACACUUCAAGAACGCUAGGAACGGGGUCUUGUCUAUCAACAUUCUUCUGGACGUUUGGUAAUUGUACAGUGCUGACCUGAAACAGUAAUUCGUCAAUCAAAAUUAGUACGAGAGAAAAACAGUGAACAGCAUAAAUACGCGGCACUUUAAGCUCUCAGUUGAGAGUAAAGUGGGAAAAAACAAGACAGUUUUAACUGUGACAUUUUGUUCAUCUUAAGGUAUCCAUCGCCUUCCGAAACUCAGCAGUCAGACAAUCCACCACCGUUUGAACUCCGGCACUUGUCAGUCCUGUGAAAAGCCAAUCACCAAACUCAAAACGUUAACAAGAGAAUUGCACUAUUUUUACUGGAUUAAACUCUAUACCUUUGUAUAUAUCAUCUCUGCCCUACUUACAUCACUAAGUUAUUUUUUUUAUUCCUCUAUUCAAUAGUUGUGACUAAGAGCAAUAUGAAUAACCUUUUGUAUAUUUCUAGUAUUUACUGGAAGUUAUUAAGUUACAUCCAUAUAAUGUGUAAUUUAUUAUACAUUGAAAGAAAAAGUUUAUACCUUGGUUUAUAUACAAUAUGGAAAA